rnacentral:rRNA from 1 species
UACGUAGGGUGCAAGCGUUGUCCGGAAUUAUUGGGCGUAAAGAGCUCGUAGGCGGUCUGUUGCGUCGGCUGUGAAAACCCGAGGCUCAACCUCGGGCCUGCAGCCGAUACGGGCAGACUAGAGUUCGGCAGGGGAGACUGGAAUUCCCGGUGUAGCGGUGAAAUGCGCAGAUAUCAGGAGGAACACCGGUGGCGAAGGCAGGUCACUGGGCCGCAACUGACGCUGAGGAGCGAAAGCAUGGGGAGCGAACAGG